rnacentral:tRNA from 1 species
GCCUGGGUGGCUCAGUCGGUUGAGCAUCUGACUUCAGCUCAGGUCAUGAUCUAGAAGUUGAGGAGUUUGAGCCCCAGGCA